UUCAAUGAAAAAAAAAAAACGGAAAUGAGGAAAAAUGGCAAAAAAAACGUAAAAAACAACCAUCUCGCCCAGGAAACAUCUCCCAAAGCAUGGCUGCUGCAGUUAAACUUUACGGUGCGUGGAACUCACCGAACACAGGUGAUUCCCAUUGAGACCAGCAUCCAGCACGAUAUUUGAGGAGUGCUGCCUACAAGGUGGCAUACGGGAAGCAACCUGUGUGGGUUCUCUACGGAAGGAAUCACAAGUGACCCCAUCCGCCGCGAAAGACACGCAAAACUUGCAUUCUUGCUGGAACAAUGUGCACCGGGAAUCCCUGUCCAAUUUGCCGGGACAUCAAAGAAAUUCCAUGGAAGUUUUCCCCUUGUUGAAAGUUGGCGUAGGAGGGUUCCUUUUUUGUGCUCUGCAAGCGUUCGUGCGAGUCAGUUGUUCUGAUUCAGCGCAGCUGGUUGCAAUUUUUACGUAAAAAAACAACCAUCUCGCCCAGGAAACAUCUCCCAAAGCAUGGCUGCUGCAGUUUGCUAAAGAUAUUGAGGAGAAGCCCCAGGCGGAAGUUGCUUCAGUUCAUCGUAUUCGCAUCACCCUCACAUCCCGGAAUGUGCGUUCCCUGGAGAAGGUGUGUGCUGACCUGGUGACUGCCGCCAAGAAGCAGAAGCUCCGUGUUGAGGGUCCAGUGCGUAUGCCUACAAAAGUCCUGAAAAUUACCAUCAGAAAGACACCUUGUGGUGAAGGUUCCAAGACCUGAAAUCGUUUUCCAGAUGCGUAUCCACAAGAGGAUGCUUGACAAUCUGCACUCCCCCUCAAAGAUUGUCAAACAGAUUACAUCAAUCAACAUUGAACCAGAUGUAGAGUAGUGCUCAGUGGCCUGAUGUACCCACUCUACGCGGCGGAAGGACAGAAGAAGGCUUAAAAUUCUCUAAA